GACGAACGCUGGCGGCGAGCCUAAUACAUGCAAGUUGAGCGCUGAAGGUUGGUACUUGUACCGACUGGAUGAGCAGCGAACGGGUGAGUAACGCGUGGGGAAUCUGCCUUUGAGCGGGGGACAACAUUUGGAAACGAAUGCUAAUACCGCAUAAAAACUUUAAACACAAGUUUUAAGUUUGAAAGAUGCAAUUGCAUCACUCAAAGAUGAUCCCGCGUUGUAUUAGCUAGUUGGUGAGGUAAAGGCUCACCAAGGCGAUGAUACAUAGCCGACCUGAGAGGGUGAUCGGCCACAUUGGGACUGAGACACGGCCCAAACUCCUACGGGAGGCAGCAGUAGGGAAUCUUCGGCAAUGGACGAAAGUCUGACCGAGCAACGCCGCGUGAGUGAAGAAGGUUUUCGGAUCGUAAAACUCUGUUGGUAGAGAAGAACGUUGGUGAGAGUGGAAAGCUCAUCAAGUGACGGUAACUACCCAGAAAGGGACGGCUAACUACGUG
rnacentral:rRNA from 1 species